GGUGACGAGUGGCGGACGGGUGAGUAAUGUCUGGGAAACUGCCCGAUGGAGGGGGAUAACUACUGGAAACGGUAGCUAAUACCGCAUAACGUCUUCGGACCAAAGUGGGGGACCUUCGGGCCUCACACCAUCGGAUGUGCCCAGAUGGGAUUAGCUAGUAGGUGGGGUAAUGGCUCACCUAGGCGACGAUCCCUAGCUGGUCUGAGAGGAUGACCAGCCACACUGGAACUGAGACACGGUCCAGACUCCUACGGGAGGCAGCAGUGGGGAAUAUUGCACAAUGGGCGCAAGCCUGAUGCAGCCAUGCCGCGUGUAUGAAGAAGGCCUUCGGGUUGUAAAGUACUUUCAGUGGGGAGGAAGGCGAUGCGGUUAAUAACCGCGUCGAUUGACGUUACCCGCAGAAGAAGCACCGGCUAACUCCGUGCCAGCAGCCGCGGUAAUACGGAGGGUGCAAGCGUUAAUCGGAAUUACUGGGCGUAAAGCGCACGCAGGCGGUCUGUCAAGUCGGAUGUGAAAUCCCCGGGCUCAACCUGGGAACUGCAUUCGAAACUGGCAGGCUAGAGUCUUGUAGAGGGGGGUAGAAUUCCAGGUGUAGCGGUGAAAUGCGUAGAGAUCUGGAGGAAUACCGGU
rnacentral:rRNA from 1 species